GUGAGUCAUCGAAUCUUUGAACGCACAUUGCGCCCCCUGGUAUUCCGGGGGGCACGCCUGUUCGAGCGCCAUUUCAACCCUCAAGCCCGGCUUGGUGAUGGGCUCCCGCCGCGUGGCGGGCCCGAAACUCGUAGGGCGCCGUGGCAGUCGGGCUCUGAGCGUAGCAAGAGUGAAAACCUCCCUCGCUCCGGAGACCCCUCCACAGCCGCCUGGAGAACCCACGAAUCUUACAAGGUUGGCCUCGGAUCAGGCGGGGAUACCCGCUGAACUUAAGCAUAUCAAUAAGCGGAGGA
rnacentral:misc_RNA from 1 species